CCUACGGGCGGCUGCAGUGGGGAAUAUUGGACAAUGGGGGGAACCCUGAUCCAGCCAUGCCGCGUGUGUGAAGAAGGCCCUCGGGUUGUAAAGCACUUUCAGUGAGGAAGAACGCCUGGUGGUUAAUACCCAUCAGGAAAGACAUCACUCACAGAAGAAGCACCGGCUAACUCCGUGCCAGCAGCCGCGGUAAUACGGAGGGUGCGAGCGUUAAUCGGAAUUACUGGGCGUAAAGCGCGCGUAGGUGGCUUGAUAAGCCGGUUGUAAAAGCCCCGGGCUCAACCUGGGAACGGCAUCCGGAACUGUCAAGCUAGAGUGCAGGAGAGGAAGGUAGAAUUCCCGGUGUAGCGGUGAAAUGCGUAGAGAUCGGGAGGAAUACCAGUGGCGAAGGCGGCCUUCUGGACUGACACUGACACUGAGGUGCGAAAGCGUGGGUAGCAAACAGGAUUAGAUACCCCGGUAGUC
rnacentral:rRNA from 1 species